CCAAUAGCGUAUAUUAAAGUUGUUGUGGUUAAAAAGCUCGUAGUUGAACCUUGGGCCUGGCUGGCCGGUCCGCCUCAUCGCGUGUACUGGUCCGGCCGGGCCUUUCCCUCUGUGGAACCUCAUGCCCUUCACUGGGUGUGACGGGGAAGCAGGACUUUUACUGUGAAAAAAUUAGAGUGCUCCAAGCAGGCCUAUGCUCGAAUACAUUAGCAUGGAAUAAUAAAAUAGGACGUGCGGUUCUAUUUUGUUGGUUUCUAGGACCGCCGUAAUGAUUAAUAGGGACAGUCGGGGGCAUCAGUAUUCAAUUGUCAGAGGUGAAAUUCUUGGAUUUAUUGAAGACUAACUACUGCGAAAGCAUUUGCCAAGGAUGUUUUCAUUAAUCAGGAACGAAAGUUAGGGGAUCGAAGACGAUAGAUACCGUCGUAGUCUUAACCAUAAACGAUGCCGACUAGGGAUCGGUGGGAGUUACAUUAAUGACUCCAUCGGCACCUCAUG
rnacentral:misc_RNA from 1 species